rnacentral:rRNA from 1 species
AUUGAACGCUGGCGGCAUGCCUUACACAUGCAAGUCGAACGGCAGCAUGGAGAGCUUGCUCUCUGAUGGCGAGUGGCGAACGGGUGAGUAAUGCAUCGGAACGUACCGUGUAAUGGGGGAUAACGUAGCGAAAGUUACGCUAAUACCGCAUACGACCUGAGGGUGCAAGCAGGGGAUCGCAAGACCUUGCGUUAUACGAGCGGCCGAUGUCAGAUUAGCUAGUUGGUGAGGUAAAGGCUCACCAAGGCGACGAUCUGUAGCGGGUCUGAGAGGAUGAUCCGCCACACUGGGACUGAGACACGGCCCAGACUCCUACGGGAGGCAGCAGUGGGGAAUUUUGGACAAUGGGGGCAACCCUGAUCCAGCCAUGCCGCGUGAGUGAAGAAGGCCUUCGGGUUGUAAAGCUCUUUCGGCCGGGAAGAAAUCGCACAGGCUAAUACUCUGUGUGGAUGACGGUACCGGCAUAAGAAGCACGGCUAACUACGUGCCAGCCGCCGCGGUAA